AAAGUGAAUGGACGGGGCAGACCGGAUGCAGCACACACCGUCGUGCGAGUAAGACGGCGGCUGAUAGGGUGAGUGACAGCAGGUUUAAUAAGGGAAAAAGGGCGGCUAUCGAUAGGUGUAUGACGGUACCGUAGGAAUAAGCACCGGCUAACUCCGUGCCAGCAGCCGCGGUAAUACGGAGGGUGCAAGCGUAAUCCGGAAUCACUGGGUUUAAAGGGUGCGUAGGCGGUCCCGUAAGUCAGAGGUGAAAGGUGACAGCUUAACUGUGAGAUGGCCUUUGAUACUGUGUAGCUUGAAUCAGAUAGAGGUUAGUGGAAUGCGACAUGUAGCGGUGAAAUGCAUAGAUAUGUCGUGGAAUACCGAUUGCGAAGGCAGCUAACUGGGUCUUGAUUGACGCUGAGGCACGAUAGCGUGGGGAGCGAACAGGAUUAGAUACCCUGGUAGUCCACGCCCUACACGAUGUGAACUCGAUGUGUGGACUGUAAGUCUGAGCCUCCAAUGGAAACCGAUAAGUUAACCACCUGGGGAGUACGUACGCAAGACUGAAACUCAAAGGAUGAC
rnacentral:rRNA from 1 species